UUCUAAGGUACAAAGAAGAUGAUAAAAUGUAGUCACGAAAAGUCAGAUGAAAACACAAGCCUCCAGGAAAGUUGCAGCCAACAAAUUUCACAAUCUUGUUCCAGGAAUGCCUGACCCAGAUGAAGUAGUUUAUUACAGUUUUCUGCAGAUUCAUGCAAUAACUGACGACUUUGAUGAUGAAAGGUGCAGUGUUCAACCAGACCAGCAACUGGUGAAAAGUACCAUCUCCACAAAUCAAAUAGAUGGUCAUCUUUGGUCCUCACUGGAUGCGCACAGCAGAUGUUGGUUUCAAAAGAGAAGGGAAAACACUUGUAAAAAAUGGAAGUUUCAUCUCUGGCCUGCAUUACAGCUUCUGGCAUAUUUUUAG
rnacentral:lncRNA from 1 species